ACGUAGGGUGCGAGCGUUAAUCGGAAUUACUGGGCGUAAAGCGUGCGCAGGCGGUUUUGUAAGACAGAUGUGAAAUCCCCGGGCUUAACCUGGGAACUGCGUUUGUGACUGCAAGGCUAGAGUACGGCAGAGGGGGGUGGAAUUCCCGGUGUAGCAGUGAAAUGCGUAGAGAUCAGGAGGAACACCGAUGGCGAAGGCAGCCCACUGGGCCUGUACUGACGCUCAUGCACGAAAGCGUGGGGAGCAAACGG
rnacentral:rRNA from 1 species